UCAGCCAACUAGCCGUUUCAUCUGGGAUCAACAAGGAGGGUCUCCCCGGCGGAACUCCGCUCUAGGCGUUUCAUCCGGGAUCACAUCUCCCCUCCUUGAAGUUCAGCCUCCCGAUUGAGCUCUGCGCCAGACGCUCGAUCCGGGACCGCGCCUCCAUAUGCUCUUCUCCCUUGUAUUCCUUCUCUCCCCUAACACUGGGGAGGACCGGAAUAUCCCUUGGAGGUGGCGUUCCCCUGGGGGCAGCGGGAGCUUCUUCUGC
rnacentral:lncRNA from 1 species